GUAACGGCGAGUGAAGCGGUAACAGCUCAAAUUUGAAAUCUGGUCCCCUCUGGGGGCCCGAGUUGUAAUUUGAAGAGGAUGCUUUUGGCGAGGCGCCUUCCGAGUGCCCUGGAACGGGACGCCACAGAGGGUGAGAGCCCCGUAUGGUAGGACGCCGAGCCUCUGUAAAGCUCCUUCGACGAGUCGAGUAGUUUGGGAAUGCUGCUCAAAAUGGGAGGUAAACCCCUUCUAAAGCUAAAUAUUGGCCAGAGACCGAUAGCGCACAAGUAGAGUGAUCGAAAGAUGAAAAGCACUUUGAAAAGAGAGUUAAACAGCACGUGAAAUUGUUGAAAGGGAAGCGCUUGCGACCAGACUUGCGCCCGUCGGAUCAACCGUCCCUCGUGGGCGGCGCACUCCGGCGGGCUCAGGCCAGCAUCAGUUUUCCCGGGGGGAGAAAGGCGGUGGGAAUGUAGCUCUUCGGAGUGUUAUAGCCUGCCGCGUAAUGCCCCCGGGGGGACUGAGGACCGCGCGUAAGCA
rnacentral:rRNA from 1 species